CUUUCUUACACACAGUUGUGGUUGUAGGUUUUAACGGAGGGAGGCCCCGCGGUAGAAUUCUGGUCGCUUGAGGGAUAUUUGGCUGUAUUUCUACCAGCUCAGACGAGUACGUAGAGGUCCUUGUCUUUAUCACUGAAUUUGUUUCUUCGUUGACUUUAAUAGUAAUGGCUAUGGUCUCUAUGACAACGGCGACGAUGACGCAAGCGAGAAAAUUAGCAACGAUUGAAGAUUUCUGUGCACAAAAAGUGUUCUUGUUAAAAGGACAAAAGACGACGGUGCCUGGUGACUACUGCUG